GGGCAUGUGGCGCAGUUGGUAGUCGCGCCAGUUUUGCAUUGCUUCGAUGUUGCUUGAAAAUACUGGAGGUCUCCGGUUCGAACCCGGACUUGUCCA
rfam:Lipomyces starkeyi NRRL Y-11557 unplaced genomic scaffold LIPSTscaffold_5, whole genome shotgun sequence.